rnacentral:rRNA from 1 species
AGUGAACGCUGGCGGUAGGCCUAACACAUGCAAGUCGAACGGCAGCACAGUAAGAGCUUGCUCUUACGGGUGGCGAGUGGCGGACGGGUGAGGAAUACAUCGGAAUCUACUUUUUCGUGGGGGAUAACGUAGGGAAACUGACGCUAAUACGGCAUACGACCUACGGGUGAAAGCAUGGGAUCUUCGGACCUUGCGCGAUUGAAUGAGCCGAUGUCGGAUUAGCUAGUUGGCGGGGUAAAGGCCCACCAAGGCGACGAUCCGUAGCUGGUCUGAGAGGAUGAUCAGCCACACUGGAACUGAGACACGGUCCAGACUCCUACGGGAGGCAGCAGUGGGGAAUAUUGGACCAAGGGCGGAAGCCUGAUCCAGCCAUACCGCGUGGGUGAAGAAGGCCUUCGGGUUGUAAAGCCCUUUUGUUGGGAAAGAAAAGCAGCAGGUUAAUACCCCGCUGUUCUGACGGUACCCAAAGAAUAAGCACCGGCUAACUUCGUG